UUUUAUUGUGAGUGAAAGACCCCCGGAGUGGGGAGACCCUCACUCAAGUCUCGGGAUGACGCAACCCCCCAAGAACUCACACAAGACC
rnacentral:pre_miRNA from 14 species